rnacentral:rRNA from 1 species
UACGUAGGGUGCAAGCGUUAAUCGGAAUUACUGGGCGUAAAGCGUGCGCAGGCGGUUAUAUAAGUCAGAUGUGAAAUCCCCGGGCUCAACCUGGGAACUGCAUUUGAGACUGUAUAGCUAGAGUACGGUAGAGGGGGACGGAAUUACGCGUGUAGCAGUGAAAUGCGUAUAUAUGCGGAGGAACACCGAUGGCGAAGGCAAUCCCCUGUACCUGUACUGACGCUCAUGCACGAAAGCGUGGGGAGCAAACAGGAUGAGAUACCCUGGUAGUCCACGCCCUAAACGAUGUCAACUGGUGGUGGGGUCUUAACUGACUCAGUAACGAAGCGAACGCGUGAAGUUGACCGCCUGGGGAGUACGGCCGCAAGGUUG